rnacentral:rRNA from 1 species
GAUGAACGCUGGCGGCGUGCCUAAUACAUGCAAGUCGAGCGAACGGACGAGAAGCUUGCUUCUCUGAUGUUAGCGGCGGACGGGUGAGUAACACGUGGAUAACCUACCUAUAAGACUGGGAUAACUUCGGGAAACCGGAGCUAAUACCGGAUAAUAUUUUGAACCGCAUGGUUCAAAAGUGAAAGACGGUCUUGCUGUCACUUAUAGAUGGAUCCGCGCUGCAUUAGCUAGUUGGUAAGGUAACGGCUUACCAAGGCAACGAUGCAUAGCCGACCUGAGAGGGUGAUCGGCCACACUAGAGCUGAGACACGGUCCAGACUCCUACGGGAGGCAGCAGUAGGGAAUCUUCCGCAAUGGGCGAAAGCCUGACGGAGCAACGCCGCGUGAGUGAUGAAGGUCUUCGGAUCGUAAAACUCUGUUAUUAGGGAAGAACAUAUGUGUAAGUAACUGUGCACAUCUUGACGGUACCUAAUCAGAAAGCCACGGCUAACUACGUG